rnacentral:misc_RNA from 1 species
GAAAUGCGAUAAGUAAUGUGAAUUGCAGAAUUCAGUGAAUCAUCGAAUCUUUGAACGCAUUUUGCGCUCCUUGGUAUUCCUUGGAGCAUGCCUGUUUGAGUAUCAUGAAAUCUUCAAAGUAAAUCUUUUGUUAACUCAAUUGGUUUCUACUUUGGUAUUGGAGGUCUUUGCAGCUUCACACCUGCUCCUCUUUGUUCAUUAGCUGGAUCUCAGUGUUAUGCUUGGUUCCACUCGGCGUGAUAAGUUAUCUAUCGCUGAGGACACUGUAAAAGGUGGCCAAGGUAAAUGCAGAUGAACCGCUUCUAAUAGUCCAUUGACUUGGACAAUACUUUUAUGAUCUGAUCUCAAAUCAGGUAGGACUACCCGCUGAACUUAAGC